rnacentral:rRNA from 1 species
CUCCUAAAAGGUAACGGAGGCGCUCAAAGGUUCCCUCAGAAUGGUUGGAAAUCAUUCAUAGAGUGUAAAGGCAUAAGGGAGCUUGACUGCGAGACCUACAAGUCGAGCAGGGUCGAAAGACGGACUUAGUGAUCCGGUGGUUCCGCAUGGAAGGGCCAUCGCUCAACGGAUAAAAGCUACCCCGGGGAUAACAGGCUUAUCUCCCCCAAGAGUUCACAUCGACGGGGAGGUUUGGCACCUCGAUGUCGGCUCAUCGCAUCCUGGGGCUGUAGUCGGUCCCAAGGGUUGGGCUGUUCGCCCAUUAAAGCGGUACGCGAGCUGGGUUCAGAACGUCGUGAGACAGUUCGGUCCCUAUCCGUCGUGGGCGUAGGAAAUUUGAGAGGAGCUGUCCUUAGUACGAGAGGACCGGGAUGGACAUACCUCUGGUGUACCAGUUGUCGUGCCAACGGCAUAGCUGGGUAGCUAUGUGUGGACGGGAUAAGUGCUGAAAGCAUCUAAGCAUGAAGCCCCCCUCAAGAUGAGAUUUCCCAACUUCGGUUAUAAGAUCCCUCAAAGAUGAUGAGGUUAAUAGGUUCGAGGUGGAAGCAUGGUGACAUGUGGAGCUGACGAAUACUAA